rnacentral:rRNA from 1 species
UACAGAGGUCUCAAGCGUUGUUCGGAUUCAUUGGGCGUAAAGGGUGCGUAGGUGGCGUGGUAAGUCGGGUGUGAAAUUUCGGAGCUUAACUCCGAAACUGCAUUUGAUACUGGCGUGCUUGAGGACUGGAGAGGAGACUGGAAUUCAUGGUGUAGCAGUGAAAUGCGUAGAGAUCAUGAGGAAGACCAGUGGCGAAGGCGGGUCUCUGGACAGUUCCUGACACUGAGGCACGAAGGCCAGGGGAGCAAACGGG